rnacentral:rRNA from 1 species
GAUGAACGCUGGCGGCGUGGAUAAGGCAUGCAAGUCGAACGGAUCUUCUUUUUCCGGAGAAUGAGAUUACAUCAAGUUCAAAGGUCGUUGAAGAUUAGUGGCAGACGAGGUAGUAACACGUGGGUAUUUCCCCCUAAGUCGUGAACAACUCCGCGAAAGCGGAGCUAAUACACGAUGGUCUCGCAAGAGUAAAGAUUUAUCGCUUAGGGAAAAGCCUGCGGAGUAUCAGCUAGAUGGUAGGGUAACGGCCUACCAUGGCUAUGACGCUUAGGGGAGCUGAGAGGCUGACCCCCACCGAUGGGACUGAGACACGGCCCAUACACCUACGGGUGGCUGCAGUCAAGAACCUUUCACAAUGGACGAAAGUCUGAUGGAGCGACGCCGCGUGAUUGAUGAAGUCCCUCUGGGACGUAAAGAUCUUUUAUGAGGGAAGAAGUUUAUUGACGGUACCUCAUGAAUAAGUAGCUUCUAAUCUCGUGC